rnacentral:lncRNA from 1 species
GCUUAACAUUAUUCACACAGGUUACUGAAGAUGUGUUAAUCUUUUUUCAGUCUUUUACUAUCUGUUCUUUAGCUUGUAUACUUUUUAUUGCUCUGUCUUCAAGUUAACUAAUUCUUUCUGUGCUGUGUCUCAUUUGUUAAUAAUUCAUCCAGUGACUUUUAAGUUUCUGGUAUAGUUUUUAAGUGUUAGAAUUUCUAUAUUUUAAGGGUCUCAAUUUCUCUUCUGAGAUUUCCCAUUCAUCCUUUUGUUUUAAUUAUGACUACCCCCCACUUUAAAGUUAUUCAAUGUAUUUUGUCAUUUUUUCUGCUAAAUUAAAAAAAAAAAAACUAAGUAAUCCCAGGGUCUAUUUCAAUAGAUUUUUUUUCCUCUUGACUAUGCAUCCCAGUUUUCUGGGUUUUAAAUAUGUGUCUUAUAAUUUUAAUGAACACAGUAGAUGAUACUUUACAGAGAUAAUAUGUUCUGUUAUGCUCCUCUGUAGAAUUAUUUUUGUUAUAGAAGGUUGAUUAUCUUGAACUUGUGGUAUUCUUAUCUUACUUUUAUAAGAAUGUCUUGUUUUGUUCGCAGAAAAAUCUCUCAGUUCUGGAUCAUAGCAUUUACUUCUGAGGUAUGGCUGUUUUUGAGUUUCAGUGGAAGACUCUGACGUUUCAAAUACCAAGGCUCUUUACGUUGUUGGGACCCAAUUUGUUCUCCUCUACGGGAAGCAGAAGAGUCAGUGUUACUGAGAUAAGAUGUGAGAGAGAUUCAGUCGUUACUGGAUUUGAAGAUGGAAGGAGGAAAUAAGUCAAAAGAAUGGGAACAUUAUCUAGAAGCUGAUACGGCAAGAAAAUUGAUUCUUUUUUAUGGCCUGCAGAAAAUAACACUAUCUUGGUGACACCUUGAUUUUAGCCCAGUGAGACCUGUUUUGCCUUGACUUCCAUGAUUGUCGGAAAGAAGCCAGCUACAUUGUCAUGAAGACACUCAAGCUGACCUAUGAAGAGGUCCAUGUGUUAAGAAACUGCGGCCUGCCACCAACAGCCAUGUGAGUGAGCCAUCAUGGAAAUGGAUUUUACAGCUCAAUUCAAGCUUUCAGAUGGUGGCAACCUGGGCUGACAUCUUGAGCACAGCCUCUUGAAAAAUCUCUGAGCCAAAACCAACCAUUUAAGCAGCUCCUGAAUUUCAGACCCACAGAUAUGCUGACAUAAAUGUUUAUUGUAUUAACCCAUGAUUUUUCUUUUUAAUCACACAGUACUAGCCUAUUUUGGCAAAUCUUUUUCAAGAGACUCUUCAUUUUUUUCUUUUCUUUUUUUUAUUUUUUUGAGACAGAGUCUCGCUCUGUUGCCCAGGCUGGAGUGCCGUGGCUUAAUCUCAGCUCACUGCAACCUCCACCUCCCAGAUUCAAGCAAUUCUCCUGUCUCAGCCUCCUGAGUAGCUGGGAUUACAGGCGUGCACCACCAUACCCAGCUAAUUUUUGUAUUUUGUAUUUUUAGUAGAGACAGGGUUUUACCAUGUUGGUCAGGCUGGUCUCAAACUCCUGGCCUCAUGAUCCACCCACGUCAGCCUCCCAAAGUGCUGGGAUUACAGGUGUGAGCCACUGUGCCCUGCCUUUUUUUCUUUUAAUUGUCAUUUUAUAGCUCUCCACCGCAGCUUCCCCACACCCUUCCCUUCCAUGAUGAUGUUUACAGGCUUUGGGGGGACCACGGAACAAAGCUGGGGCCUGGCAGCCCCACUAGGUUGCCAGCUGGGGAGAACAAGGCACAAUUACAAAUUAUCACAACAAUUAGCACCUGUACUUGGGGGAUCUGCAAAUUGAGGAGGCCCCAGCUCCUCAUGGUACAGGGGUCUAUCUGGCAGUGAACUUACUCUGGAGACAAUGGUAUUCCUUCAGUCUGAGGGAGUUGAUGUUGAUGAACCCGGUGUCAUCAAUCGGC